AUGAAUUGGACACUUCCACUUGAGCUUUCCAUCCCCUCAUCCCCAUCUCCCCUUUUCCCCGCAGGGCUCCGGGCGGCCGUGACCCUGCUGGAGUCCGGGGGGGACCUCCAGCCCCCCGGGGGGUCCCUGCGCCUCCUCUGUCGAGGGUCUGGGUUCAGUUUUGGUGAUUUCUGGAUUGGCUGGUAUCGCCAGAGGCCCGGGCAGGCGCUGGAAUUCGUUGUACAAGUCAACAAGACUGGUUACAAUUAUUACCCUGCACCAUCGGUGCAGGGCCGGGUCAGGAUCUCCAGGGACAACGGGCAGAGCUCGGUGACGCUGACCAUGAACAACCUCAAGGACGAGGAUUCCGGAUCCUAUUUCUGUGCCAAGGCUGCUGCUGGUUACUACGCUUAUGGUGCUGCUGCUUAUCGUUUUGACCCUGUACCCUUCACCGUGUCCUCACUGUCCCCUAUGCCCCAGACCCUUCCCCCAAACCCUUGA